ensembl:lncRNA
GUUUGUACAGCUUUAUUUAUAAUUGUCAAAACUUGGAAGCAACCAGGAAGUUCUUCAAUACGUGAAUGGAUAAACAAAUUCUAGUACACGCAAGGAAUGGAAUAUUAUUCAGUGAUAAAGAAAAAUGAACUAUCAUGGCAUGGAAAGAUGUGAAGGAACCUUAAAUGCAUAUUGCCAAGUGAAAGAAGCCAAUCUGAAGAAGUCUACCUAUCUUUUCAGGUUGUAUAAUUUCCCACUAUGUGACGUUUUGGAAAAAGUAAAACUAUGCAGACAAUGAAAAGAUCAGUGGUUUCCAGGAGUCAGUGGGGAGGGAGGGAAGAAUAAAUGGAGCACAGACAGAUUUUAGGGCAGUAAAAUAAUUCUGUAUGAUACUAUAAUAGUGGAGACAUGCCAUUACACAUUUGCCCAAACUCAUAGAAUGUACACACCAAGAGUGAACCCUCAUAUAACCUGAUCAAUGACUAGGUCAACAUUGGUUCAUCAGUUGCAAAGAUGUAUCACACUAAUUCCAGAUAUUAAUAAUAAGGGAAACUGUGUGUGGGGAGAGGUGCUAUAUGAGAACUCUCAAAUAUGCUCAAAUUCUCUGUAAACAUGAAACUGCUCUAAAAAAUAAGAUCUAUAUUAAAAAUCAAAGCUUUCACCAGAUCAAUGGUUGUAGACCAGGUGUCCAGGGAUGCUUUGAUUUGCCCCAGUGAUCAGUAGUCAUAUCUGGAACAGCAGUUGCAAUUGGAGUCCUGGUUAAGUUUACCAGAAUUCACUGUCCUUCCUUCUCCAGGACCCCCCUGUCUUCCACACAAGCCAAUUUAAUGAGUGGAACGAGGCUGCCAUAGUGGUCGUCACCCUGCAUCUUCCAAGUCCUCAAUGGCAGCACUGACCUUUGCGGUCCUUCCAGGGCCACAGGUUGCUUUUGACUGACGAUUUUCCUAGGCAGAGUUCACCCCAUGGCUUCUACUUGGCCUUUCCCACCAUAGCAGCCCCCACCCCUCAGGUCAGGGGACAAAUGUGGGGACUCUGCUGGCUGCCACAUAAGUCCAUUUACUCACCUGUCUGAGGCUAGGGAAGUGACCUCUGCACCCACCGAGAGUUGGACCUGAGCUAGAGCUCCAUGAGUACCCUGGCCUCCACACGCCCCUCCUCUGACUAUUAGAUCUGACGGGUGUUUGUGUCCCCAGGAGUGGGUGUCAGGGUAGAGUUAGUGUCCAGUAAGUCCCCUGAGUCUGAGGACAGACUAGCCACCCCAGCAAAUGGCUGCAGGUCCCUGAGGGGAGACUGGGGGAGAGAAGAAUAAUGUAAAUUUGUGAGAGUAUGGCAACGUCCUUCCUCAGGGGCACCCAGUCCUCCUUUACUUGGGCACCAGGUGAGGGAGGCCACCCAUUGCUCCAGUUCCUGUGGCACCAUGAGCCUCCGGCCAAGGCCACAGGGUUCCGUGGACUGGACUGUUCCAAUCACUGCCAGAGCCAGUUGCCAUCUCAGCCACAAGCCCAGGGCCUCGUGGCCACCCCUGCUGGGCUGUGCCCUGCCCUCCUUAAAGGUUGUGAAUGAGCUCCCCACUGGGGCACCCCUGGCCAGCUCACUCUUCUUUUGUCUGCCCUGGCCCUGAUGCUGGUGUUUGAGAUAUCAGAACUCACUGGAAACCACCCUAAGCAGAGAUCACUCUGGCUGACGCCGGGGUGCAGUCCACAUGUGAUGGACUCUUAGGCUGAGCAGUGUUGGCUGAGCCCCCACUGCACCUUCCCUCCCACUCUGGGGUGCUCAGCCUCUGCCCAAGGCAGGGGGGACACUUCUGGCAACUGGUGACCCAGAGAUCAUGGGCUGCAGGGAUGGCUCUGAGUAGGCCACACAGCCAUCCCGAGAGCCAUCACUGGGGACACAGGGGGCCCUGCAGCCAGGGUGUCAGUGUGGGGGCAGCCCAGCAGACCCCAAGCCACCCACUGAGGUUGCUUCUCAGGGGAGCACUGGCAGGCUGUCGGCUCCUGCCUGGGCCCCGGCCUCUUGCCCCUGUCCCACCUCCCACCUGCAUGGUCUCCAGCAUUGCCCAAAUUCACCACCUUCACUCCCAAGUCCACGGCGGUGUCUCAUCCAGGCGGGUGAACACUCAUGUGUUGGGAGGCUGGCAAAGCCUGGCAUGGGGGGGCACCAUCCAUCUCCCUUCUUUGUCUCACUGCCUUUAAACACCCCACAUCUAUCACCUCUGCCCCCAAGGCUCCCAAGUUCACCCCAUGCCAGCCUCAGCCCAACAAGGCCUGUGUUUCUGGCCAGCCCUGCUGGGGUUCUCAGGGCGUCUACCCUCUCUGCUCCCCACUGUCUCUAAACAUAUUUCACACAUUGCUGGGGCAAUAUAUGUGACUCACAGCUUCCCAGAGCCAUCCCAGAGUUGUUCAGUAGACAUGAGGUAAAUGAA